rnacentral:rRNA from 1 species
CAAAAACAUCUUUUCUUGUUAGUUUUUGAGGUAUGGCCUGCCCGCUGACUUUGAGUUGAAGGGCCGCGGUAUUUUGACCGUGCAAAGGUAGCAUAAUCAUUAGUUCUUUAAUUGUGAUCUGGUAUGAAUGGUUUGACGAGGCACAGACUGUCUUAGGGGUAUGAGUGAGCUUGAAUUUAGAUUUUGGGUUAAAAUUCUUAGAUGUUUUUAUGGGACGAGAAGACCCUAUAGAGUUUUACAUUUGUCUUGGCUUGUGUCGGUUUGUUUUGAGGAAAUAUAAGUCAAUUUAAUUGUUUUGUUGGGGUGAUGGGAGGAAUAUUGUUUAACUCCUCUUUGUUUGGCGGUAUAUUUAUUUAUAUUUAUUUGAUCCAUUUAUUUUGAUUGUAAGAUUAAAUUACCUU